GUAGGCGGUUUAAUAAGUGAAUAGUGAAACCUGGUGGCUCAACCAUACAGACUAUUAUUCAAACUGUUAAACUCGAGAAUGGUAGAGGUAACNUGGAAUUUCUAGUGUAGGAGUGAAAUCCGUAGAUAUUAGAAGGAACACCGAUGGCGUAGGCAGGUUACUGGGCCAUUUCUGACGCUAAGGCACGAAAGCGUGGGGAGCGAACCGGAUUAGAUACCCGGGUAGUCCACGCCGUAAACGAUGGAUACUAGCUGUUGGAGGUAUCGACCCCUUCAGUAGCGAAGCUAACGCGUUAAGUAUCCCGCCUGUGGAGUACGGCCGCAAGGCUAAAACAUAAAGGAAUUGACGGGGACCCGCACAAGCGGUGGAUUAUGUUCUUUAAUUCGAUGAUAACCGAAGAACCUUACCAGGGCUUGACAUCCAGGGAAGGUCUGCGAAAGUAGGCUGUGCCUUUUGGAACCCUGUGACAGGUGAUGCAUGGCCGUCGUCAGCUCGUGUCGUGAGAUGUUAGGUUAAGUCCUUCAACGAGCGCAACCCUUGUGAAUAGUUGUAUUUUUCUAUUCAGACUGCCCCGGUAACGGGGAGGAAGGAGGGGAUGAUGUCAGGUCAGUAUUUCCCUUACGUCCUGGGCUANGAAACGUAAUACAAUGGCUAGUACAAUGCGCAGCGAAGCCGCGAGGUGAAGCAAAUCGCAUCAAAGCUAGUCCCAGUUCGG
rnacentral:rRNA from 1 species